rnacentral:rRNA from 1 species
UACGAAGGGGGCUAGCGUUGUUCGGAAUUACUGGGCGUAAAGCGCACGUAGGCGGCUUUGUAAGUAAGAGGUGAAAGCCCAGAGCUCAACUCUGGAAUUGCCUUUUAGACUGCAUCGCUUGAAUCAUGGAGAGGUCAGUGGAAUUCCGAGUGUAGAGGUGAAAUUCGUAGAUAUUCGGAAGAACACCAGUGGCGAAGGCGACUAACUGGACAAGUACUGACGCUGAGGUACGAAAGCGUGGGGAGCAAACAGG